ensembl:lncRNA
CACCAUCAGACCACCAGAUGGACGGGCUGUGUGUUUCUCUCAUCACUCUCUUGUGUGCUGUUUCCUCCAGUCAGGAUGGGAUCUCUGCAGCAGAGGUGGAGCUGAGAGUCAGACCAGGAGACAACGUCGUUCUUCAUUGUGACAUCAAAGAUUAUCUGGAUACAAAUUGGCACAGAAACAGCUCCAUUGGGAACAGGAGUCAUUUCAGAAUUUCCAAAUCCAAUCCUGUCCGUCGAUUCUAUUUCCUGUUGCGUUCUCAACAGUUCUAUGAUCUACUGAUAACUAACGUCUCUGAAUCUGACCUGGGACUCUACUACUGUGGGAGCUGGCAGAGACCUGUGGUGAACAAGGAAGGGUUUCUCAGUGACACAGAAGAAGAUGUCUACCACCAUGGAAAUGUCAUCACCAGACUUUCAUUUGAAACCCGUCCAACUGAGCCCUCCUCCUCCUCCUCCCCUGAUGUAGACUGUGGUCUGUGUUGGAUGUUGCUGUUCAGUCUGUGUCCUGUGUCUGCUCUCCUCUCCUCUCUCCUCUCCUCCACCUGUGUCUACUCCUUCUGCAGAACAACAGCUCCAACUGACUCUCAGAUCAAGUCGACCAUCAGGGGAAGUGAGAGCAGAGUACAGGAGGAAGGAGACCUGUUUUACGCCUCGUUGGAUAUCCGUCAGGGACAGAAGACACCAAAGAAGAAGAAGACAGUCCAGAACUCUGACUUCAGUACCUACUCAGCCAUCAAUACCAGCAGAGUGUGAGACCUAUACCAGCCAUCAAUACCAGCAGAGUGUGAGACCAAUACCAGCAGAGUGAUAACUAUACCAGCCAUCAAGAUCAGCAGAGUGAUAGAUAUACCAGCCAUCAAUGCCAGCAGAGUGAUAUCUAUACCAGCAG